GGUAAAGUGGCUGAGCGUUUAAGCGGUAGGCUGUAGUCCUAUUAAGAGAGGUUUAACUCCUUUUUUUACCA
rnacentral:tRNA from 1 species